UGGCAAAUGCUUUCGCAGUAGUUAGUCUUCAAUAAAUCCAAGAAUUUCACCUCCGACAAUUGAAUACUAAUGCCCCCAACUAUCCCUAUUAAUCAUUACGUCGAUCCUAGAAACCAACAAAAUAGAAUCAAACGUCCUAUUUCAUUAUUCCAUGCUAAUGUAUUCAAGCGUGAGCCUGCUUUAAACACUCUAAUUUUUUCAAAGUAACAGUUCUGUUUCCCUGCAACACCAAAUUAAUGACAUUACAGUUCUUCAGAAAGGAGGAAUCAGCGAAACCAGUGCGUACCAGAGGCACGACCAACCUGCUGACCCCGAAAUUCAACUACGAGCUUUUUAACCU
rnacentral:rRNA from 1 species